UUCCGACUAUCAGAUACCCGUUACUCAGUUAGUGGAAGUGCUAACAAAAACCCCAGACCAGUUUGGCUCGGCUAUUGAUCCUGAUCAAGAAUAUAUAUACUUUAUAUGGAUACCCUAUUACUCUACGAGCAACGGGUUUUAUAACAGCACAAAAAGAGACAAUCAAGUAUAGCUUAAGUUCGAAUCCAAGCAUCAAGACUGAUUAUAGUUUUUUAUACAUUCCGAAUAGCGCAUCAACUUUAAGCUUUAAUUUUACCACAUAAGAGCAAACAGAGCAGCACUGCACUGCAGUCUCCGAUUUCAAAUCCCGCAGAGAAGCCCCAGGUCAGGAGCAAAAACUAUAACAAUAUCGGUGUGCCAUGGCAAUGGCUAUUGUAAUUAUGAAGUAACUCAAUAAACAGUUGGCAUAUUACUGUUUCGAGAAACUGCAUGCAAAUUGCAAUUAGUUUCUGUUUUGCAUUUGCCAUUAUUAUUGAAUUUGGUCUAAUGUGCAAAUAGCAUUGCAUUGGCCAUGGUCCAGUCCUCCAUCGUCAACCUGUAACUCAAUCAAUGGUCAAUGCGGUUAAAUUGCGGCGCACAAAGGGGACUUUAAGGGCUCGAUUCGACUCCACUCAUUAUUGAUUCACAAUGCACACACACAAACACAAACACACUCUUUUUGUUUUGCCAAUUAGGAUGGCAGUGGAGUUCCAACCGCUCCAACCACCGAUAUCACCUCAUUAUUGCUGCUAAAUCCAUGCGCAGACACAACGACUUCCGUUCUGGCCAGAAUGAAAUUUAUAAUGACAGCAAACAGCAAACAAACAAACAACCAAACAAACAAAUCAUGCCCCCAAAUCCUGUACCCUGCGAACAAUUAUGGCUAAAAGUUGAACGAUACAACUAAAAUGUAAUCAGCCAGGACCUCCACAACGUGCAUACAUAGCCAUGUCUGUGUCUUUGUUCCCGCCUUUGUUGGCCACUCGCCCUUAAUGCUUUUUUAGUAAAUAAUUUAUAUUCAAUUUUCAAAUAAAUUGCCAACAAAAAUAGUUAGCAAACAAA